rnacentral:rRNA from 1 species
CGCAUCUGUGCAUGCAGCAUAUCAAUAAGCGGAGGAAAAGAAACUAACAAGGAUUCCCCUAGUAACGGCGAGUGAAGCGGGAAGAGCUCAAAUUUGAAAUCUUAAAGGGUUUCCCUUUACGAAUUGUAGUUUAAAGAAGUGUUUUCUGUUGAGGUUUUGGUAAAAGUUCUUUGGAAUAGGACAUCAUAGAGGGUGAGAAUCCCGUAUUUGACCUUUACUUUCAACUUUGUGAUACACUUUCAAAGAGUCGGAUUGUUUAGGGAAUGCAGUCCAAAAUGGGUGGUAAAUUUCAUCUAAAGCUAAAUAUUGGCGAGAGACCGAUAGCGAACAAGUACCGUGAGGGAAAGAUGAAAAGAACUUUGAAAAGAGAGUUAAACAGUACGUGAAAUUGUCAAAAGGGAAGCGUUUGACACCAGUGUUGUUUUUCUGAAAAUCAAUUAAAGAACUGUUUAUGCUAAGCUGUUUAGACUUUAUCAGCUAUCUGUUUAGUUUUGAGCUUUUCUUUAAUGCACUUUUCAGUUAACAAGUCAACAUCAAUUUCUUUUGCUGUAAUAAAAGCUUGAGGAAGGUGGCUUGAGAUUCGUCUUAAGUGUUUAUAGCCUCUUGCCUAUGCAGUCGGAGGAGAUUGAGGUCUGCAGGCGUAGAUCCUUCGGGGCUAAAUGCAUUUGUGCUAAGUUAUAGCAUUUUAUAGACAACAUGUUGACUAUGAUUUGUCUUGUAGCUUACUCGCUUAUGUUAUUUUACCUACGCUUAGGAUGUUGAAUCUGUGCGAGACUAC